AAACCGUUGAAAGGGAAGCGAAUGGAGUUAGCAAUUCGCCUCGCCAGAUUCAGCCUUCCGGUCGCCGCGACGCGCGCGYUCUCGAUCUUCGUAGACGGGACGAGUGCGGACGCGGCGCCUGGGUGGCGCACUUCUGGCGGGCGAGCGUCGGCGUCGGUUGCCGGCGGGCUACAAGGCCGCGAGGAAGGUAGGAYGUCGUUCGCGGCGUCUGUUACAGCCUCGCGAUCGCAUGGCYCGCCCGGCGACCGUGGCCAAAUCGUGUCGCGACGCGUGCCUUCCUCCCCUCGGGAAGGAGGGCUGGUGACCCGUUCGGUCGAUCCGGUUGUCGACUGUGGCGGACGGCACGCCUGUGCGCUCGAACCGCUGCCGGCCGAUCGGGCGRUGUUCACACACCACGCGUCGAGGAUGCCGACGACCAUACGGCUCCAUCCGACCCGUCUUGAAACACGGACCAAGGAGUCUAACAUGUGCGCGAGUCUCCGGGUGAUCGAAACCUGUGGGCACAAUGAAAGUAAAGGCGGCCUCGUGUCGCUGAGGUGAGAAGUCGCAAGACCGCAUCAUCGACCGACCUAUUCUACUCUUAGAAAGGUUCGAGUAAGAGCGUACCUGUUGGGACCCGAAAGAUGGUGAACUAUGCCUGAAUAGGGUGAAGCCAGCGGAAACACUGGUGGAAGCUCGUAGCGAUUCUGACGUGCAAAUCGAUCGUCGAAUUUGGGUAUAGCGGCGAAAGACUAAUCGAACCAUCUAGUAGCUGGUUCCCUCCGAAGUUUCCCUUAGGAUAGCUGGAGCUCAUCCGUGCAGU
rnacentral:rRNA from 1 species